rnacentral:rRNA from 1 species
AUUGAACGCUGGCGGCAGGCUUAACACAUGCAAGUCGAGCGAGCGGCGGACGGGUGAGUAAUGUCUGGGAAAAUGCCUGAUGGAGGGGGAUAACUACUGGAAACGGUAGCUAAUACCGCAUACCAUCAGAUGUGCCCAGAUGGGAUUAGCUAGUAGGUGGGGUAAUGGCUCACCUGGGCGACGAUCCCUAGCUGGUCUGAGAGGAUGACCAGCCAAAUUGGGAAGGAAGAAAGGACCAGACUCCUACGGGGGGCAGCAGUGGGAAAGAUUGCGCAAUGGUGGCAACCCGGACGCAGCCAUGCCGCGUGAAUGAAGAAGGCCUUCGGGUUGUAAAGUUCUUUCGGUAGCAAGGCGUUAACUACAGAAGAAGCACCGGCUAACUCCGUGCCAGCCGCCGCGGUAAUAC